rnacentral:rRNA from 1 species
GGCACUUCAAACCCCCCUAGAGGAGCCUGUUCUAGAACCGAUACCCCCCGUUUAACCUCACCUUCUCUGGCCCCCAGCCUAUAUACCGCCGUCGUCAGCCCACCCUAUGAAGGCUCAACAGUGGGCAAAAUUGGCACCUCCCAUCCCCAAAACGUCAGGCCGAGGUGUAGCGUAUGAGAAGGGAAGAAAUGGGCUACAAUUGUCCAUCCACUAACACGGACUGUAUGCUGAAACGCAUACACAAAGGAGGAUUUAGGAGUAAGGAGAGAAUAGAGCGCCCUCCUGAAACGGCAAUGAAGUGUGCACACACCGCCCGUCACUCUCCCCGAAUAAAUGAAAAAUAUAAAUAAAAAAAGAUCCUACAAGAAGGGGAGACAAGUCGUAACAAGGUAAGUGUACCGGAAGGUGCACUUGGAA